rnacentral:rRNA from 1 species
AUUGAACGCUGGCGGCAGGCCUAACACAUGCAAGUCGAGCGGAUGAAGGGAGCUUGCUCCUGGAUUCAGCGGCGGACGGGUGAGUAAUGCCUAGGAAUCUGCCUGGUAGUGGGGGAUAACGUCCGGAAACGGGCGCUAAUACCGCAUACGUCCUGAGGGAGAAAGUGGGGGAUCUUCGGACCUCACGCUAUCAGAUGAGCCUAGGUCGGAUUAGCUAGUUGGUGGGGUAAAGGCCUACCAAGGCGACGAUCCGUAACUGGUCUGAGAGGAUGAUCAGUCACACUGGAACUGAGACACGGUCCAGACUCCUACGGGAGGCAGCAGUAGGGAAUAUUGGACAAUGGGCGAAAGCCUGAUGCAGCCAUGCCGCGUGUGUGAAGAAGGUCUUCGGAUUGUAAAGCACUUUAAGUUGGGAGGAAGGGCAGUAAGUUAAUACCUUGCUGUUUUGACGUUACCAACAGAAUAAGCACCGGCUAACUUCGUG